rnacentral:rRNA from 1 species
GAUGAACGCUAGCGGCAGGCUUAACACAUGCAAGUCGAGGGGCAGCAUAUUUUGUAGUAAUACAAGAUGAUGGCGACCGGCGCACGGGUGCGUAACGCGUAUGCAACCUACCAUAUACAGGGGGAUAAACUUUCGAAAGGGAGCCUAAUACCCCAUAGUAUUAUUUUUAGGCAUCUGAGAAUAAUUAAAGAUUAAUUGGUAUAUGAUGGGCAGGCGUGUCAUUAGCUAGUUGGUAAGGUAACGGCUUACCAAGGCGACGAUGACUAGGGGUUCUGAGAGGAAGAUCCCCCACACUGGUACUGAGACACGGACCAGACUCCUACGGGAGGCAGCAGUGAGGAAUAUUGGUCAAUGGGCGAGAGCCUGAACCAGCCAUGCCGCGUGCAGGAAGACGGCCCUAUGGGUUGUAAACUGCUUUUAUGUGAGGAUAAACCUAUUCUUGCGAGAGUAGCUGAAGGUAUCAGAUGAAUAAGGAUCGGCUAACUCCGUGCCAGCCGCCGCGGUAA